CCCGCAUCCUCCCCCGCGUCCAAAGUUCAGAACCCAAUUCCCCCAAAUUCCCCGUUUCAUCCCCAAAUUCCCCAAUCACCAGAAACACAAUUCCUCGUUGUUCUACCCUAAAUUCACGGUUGCGCCACCAUCAUUCUCCACUGCCGUCGUUCCUCCGUCACGGUUACCCCUUCUUCUUCUUCUUCCGUGAACCUCCUUUUCUUCUCUCCUUCACUCACUCCUUCUGUUUACCCACUCUCCACCACCGUCCUCCUCUGGCGACGCCGUUUCAGCUGCCGCGCUGCUUCCCCCAGCCCACCUCAAGCUCCCCGGACUGAUUCUCCUCCUGGAAACGAUUCCGGCAUGCUUCAUUUUUAAUGCUUCAUUUUUAAUUCCUCCAUCAUUCGAGAAAGCUCUGACCCCUCCAUUAGGAAGACUGCAAAAGGAUGCUCAUUACUUCCUCAGGAUAUGAUUGGUAGAGACGGAGAUCGUGGCUGUGGCCGUGGCUGAGGCCGAAAGGGGAGGCCUAGGUAGAAAACUCUCACCUAUUCUGCAGUGAUCAGGACAACCAUAGAGUUCUCAAAGGGAGGAUGAUUCUAACGAUUUUGUUGACUCAAAUGAUUACUUAGACGAGUAUGAGUAGGUUAUUUAAUUACUUUACUUUGAAUAUUUUGUAUUAUUAGUGGAUUGCAAUUUAAACGAAUAUAAGUCUAAGUUUAGUUAUUUAUCU